CCCAUUUUGCAAACACGAAGAAGUCAAAACACACAAAGGUAGAAGCAUUGGCAUAAGUACAGCAUUUGAAGACAGAGAUCCAUAUUGACGACGUUCGACUAGAUCAUCAAAAUUACCGUCCUUCUUACUCGACACACCAGAGGUAAGAGCUUGUAAAGGAAGCUGGCUAUUCACUGAAUCAGAAAGGACUUCAAAAAACAUAGUUGUAGUUUGUGUAGCAAGCUUUAAAUUCGGAUACGACUCACCGUGUUCUCCAGAAUCACUAAAGCCAAUAAAUGGAGCUAAAACCCUUGCAGCCAAUGCACAAUAUGUCAUCUGUAAUAAAGAGGAUUCUGAAAACAAGCCGCUUUUAAGUGACUCAGAAAGAAGAAAUCGAACUCGUUUGAAUAAAGGACCAGAGUCUUGUAUGUAGUCGGCAUCAGUAUUACUAAAAGCAAUUGCAUACAGACGCAAAAACAGGGAAAUGGCAGAGGAUUCCUUAUGAUAUAAACAGGGAUUCGAACCAUCAUUAGUUUUGCCGAAGCAACGCUUCAAAGCAAUAAAUAAACUAGUCUUAGCCGAUGAGGCCGCAACAUUGUUAGGGGAUAUGGAUGACAAAAAGAAAAAAGAAAUAGCAGGUAAAGCUUGAAUGAGACGUUUAUCCUCUACAUUAACGUUACCCUUCAGGGAACUGCUCUGGCCAGAGGACGACUUUCUGGAUGAAGAUCGAGCAUCGGCAACUUCGAUUAGCCCAAGUUGGUGAAAAUGAACACCAUAAUCGGGUGCUACGUUAGCAGCCAUAACAUAGUAUCUACGGGAAACUUGAUAAUCAGGUACGUUUGGAGAACGAACCUCAGCCAAGUAACGGUGGACAUCGCCAAUGUAAAUCAAAGACCUAUACACACAAAGAACCAAAUACUGUGGUUUAUGAUCAGUUAAUGCAGGUUCGUAAGUGAGUGAAUUAGAAGAAGAGUCUUUCUUUAAUGGAGAAGAAGAGGAUGAUGGAGAGCCUGAAAGUAAUCUUUUCACAGAGUCAACUUCCAAACAAGAAUCUUCAAAUAUGGAGGAAAAAAGAGCAGCAAGCCUUGAUUGCGAAUUGGUACUUGUUUUCCAAUUAUGAGAACCUUGCUUUCGCAGAGGGGACUCUAAAAUCGUUUUAGGAGUUACACAAGAUGUAAAGAAAGAAGUUAAUGGACUGAGACAUUGUAAAUGAU